AUAUAUAUAUAUAUAUAUACAUAUGUUCUCAUCAAAAAAGAACACUGGGCGCCAAGAACAGAUGCCUGCCACUCUGAGUGGGAAGAAUAGAGUCAAGAGACGGUAAGGUCAAGCACAAGUUCGUGUUUUGCUGUUCCUGCUGUGGUUCUCUACUUUCUCAGAGAUGGGAAGGAAGAAUACUAAUGAAAUUGGGGGAAGUGGAUCACAAGUUAAAGCUGUAUGGAAUGAUUAUAAUGUAUCCAAAUUUUGUGAUCUGUGCAUCAAGUUGGUGGAUGCUGGACGUCGUCCUAAUACUCAUUUUGACAGAGAAGGAUGGGAGAGUUUAGUAGUAAACUUCAGUAAAG